GAUUGACCUCGGAUCMGGCAGGGAUACCCGCUG
rnacentral:rRNA from 1 species